rnacentral:rRNA from 1 species
UACGUAGGUGGCAAGCGUUGUCCGGAAUUACUGGGCGUAAAGGGCGUGUAGGUGGUCUAACAAGUCAGGUGUGAAAUUCCAGGGCUUAACCUUGGGCAUGCAUUAGAAACUGUUAGACUUGAGGGCAAGAGAGGAAAGUGGAAUUCCUAGUGUAGCGGUGAAAUGCGUAGAUAUUAGGAGGAACACCAGUGGCGAAGGCGACUUUCUGGAUUGACCCUGACACUGAGGCGCGAAAGCGUGGGGAG